AGACUUGAUGUUGGCAUACGACACUCCUCGCUCGUAAAGAGAGCCGAUAGAUUUAAAUACUUGAAAUAAUCAGAGUUAUUUAAAUCAAAAUUAAUUGGUAAAUCGAUCGUUUCCGCGUUACGAAUGCGUUAUGAGUGAUUGGGGACAGGUAAGCCUAAACAUGUUCACCUCGACCAUGAAAUGGAUUCAAACCUCUAGUUAUUUAGGAAGCAAAUUGAAACUAGUUAAUCAAAGCGCGACUGACUUUUUGCGCGUUAAUUAUCGUUAUUAACUUUGGUGAAGUGAGUAUUAUCAUAGGAAUUUAUAAUUUAUGGAAAAACUCGGCGAAUCUACGAUAAUUGGUAUUUCGGAAAAACCUAUAUUAAAUAAUUCUAUAGAUAUUAGGAAUAUAAUUACGUCCCGUGGCCCGCCUUGCAGGUCAUAGUGCGUGCGUAGUAUCUACUUAAUCAUUUUUUAUUACGGAGUUCUUUAAUGCUUAUGAUAUCUCCUAGGCAGUUGAGUAGUGUCGGUCUAGUGGCUUCAGCGAGCGACUCUCAAUGGACUUUCUGUCUAUGUGCUUAUCAAACACUCGCUCGUACGACGAAGGAAAACAUCGUAAAGAAAACCGGCUUGCCUUAGACACAAAAAAUAUCGACAUUACAAAACUGAUGCAGAAAUCUGAUGCCCAGAUCUAGAAGGUUGUAGCGCCACUUGAAAAGCCCAGUAAUUUUUGAUCAAGGGACAAUUUUGACUACAGUACAAAUGGAUAUUAUAAGGUUUUUCAACAACAAGAGGAUGACGUAAACUCAGAAAACGAGUCAGAGACCAACAAUGGAUUGUAUAAGAAUGGUAAUGGUUAUGCUAGUUAGUGGUCGUUCGUAUCACCAUAACCACGUACAGCUCCUCAUUCGCAUCAAUUAUCUUGCUAUUUACCGAUUAUAAUCACGGUAAUAAACAUGUCAUACAUAAAA